GGGGAGGCGUAGGGAAACCGAGUCUUAAUAGGGCGUUUAGUUGCAGGCAAUAGACCCGAAACCGGGCGAUCUAUCCAUGGCCAGGCUGAAGGUUAGGUAACACUGACUGGAGGGCCGAACCCACUUAUGUUGAAAAAUGAGGGGAUGAGCUGUGGAUCGGAGUGAAAGGCUAAUCAAGCCUGGAGAUAGCUGGUUCUCCGCGAAAUCUAUUUAGGUAGAGCGUCGGAUGAAUU
rnacentral:rRNA from 1 species